AUUGAACGCUGGCGGCAGGCUUAACACAUGCAAGUCGAACGAGUGGCGGACGGGUGAGUAAUGCUUGGGAAUCUGGCUGAUGGAGGGGGAUAACGACGGGAAACUGUCGCUAAUACCGCGUACCAUCGGAUGAGCCCAUGGGGGAUUAGUUAGUUGGUGGGGUAAUGGCCUACCAAGCCGACGAUCGCUAGCUGGUCUGAGAGGAUGACCAGCCACACCGGGACUGAGACACGGCCCGGACUCCUACGGGAGGCAGCAGUGGGGAAGAUUGCGCAAUGGGCGCAACCCUGAUGCAGCCAUGCCGCGUGAAUGAAGAAGGCCUUCGGGUUGUAAAGUUCUUUCGGUGACGAGGCGUUAAUCACAGAAGAAGCACCGGCUAACUCCGUGCCAGCAGCCGCGGUAAUAC
rnacentral:rRNA from 1 species